GUACAUAAAUAUAUGAUGUACUUAGAAGUUGUAUUUCUUAUUGAUAACUUACAUGUAAUGCAUUCUUUUUAAAGGAACAGCAUUUGUCAACAAUUCUGACACUCGCAAGUUGUGGAUUUAGGUUGUUUAAGCAGUGCUGGUUGAGCUAUUGUAUUAUCUAGUCAAAGUUUAGCGAGGAUAUUAAUGUUUCUUUACUUUUAAUUAGCAAGCUGUACGUGUAUCAAUAAGACAGACUUGUAUCAAGACAUUACACAUACCCAAGGUCACAUUUGUGUCAUAUAUGAUGUAUCUAUGUAUUUAGACAAGUCCUAUUAUGUUGAAAUAAAUUGUUAAC
rnacentral:sRNA from 1 species